GUCCACGCCGUAAACUAUGAGAGCUAGCCUUUGGAGAGUUUACUCUUCAGUGGCGCAGCUAACGCAUUAAGCUCUCCGCCUGGGAGUACGGUCGCAAGAUUAAAACUCAAAGGAAUUGACGGGGCCCGCACAAGCAGUGGAGCAUGUGGUUUAAUUCGAAGCAACGCGAAGAACCUUACCAGCCCCUUGACAUGGUCGGACGGUUUCCAGAGAUGGAUUCCUUCACUUCGGUGACUGACACACAGGUGCUGCAUGGCUGUCGU
rnacentral:rRNA from 1 species